UUCUCAACAUUCCGUUCUGUGUGCCUAGUCGGAGUUUUUUAACCUAUUCGAUCGCGUAAAAGUUAACUGCGUUUUGUAUGGAAUUGAAAUAGCGCCAUCUAGUGACAAGAAGUGGAAACAUAAUUUGUGAGUGCGAGUUUUUUACGUCCUCGGGACCGACUAUUGUUUACCGACUCGCAUGCGAAAGUGACAACGUGAGCGCACGUGAUUGGUGGAUUCAAGAACUAUGCGAGUGCGAGUAUCAAAUUUUGACAAUUCGCGGAGUAAAUCGAGUAAACACGACGCUAACGCGAUAGUUAAGUUGUCGCAUAGAUUUUUACAGUGAAAGUUGAGUGAGGAGAUAAUUUUAAAGACAUUUAUUUGCAUUUUUCAAAGUGGUGAUAGCUU